GGUGGUUCUUGGGUGACACACCCCAGAAUCAGGCUUCCUCCUCUCUGGUUCCGGGUGCGCCACCUGAGAUCCACA
rfam:Myotis lucifugus cont2.42719, whole genome shotgun sequence.